GGGUGAUAUGAGUUCGAGACUGCAUUUCCCAUAAGGCUAUGCAGUAGCGUAAUGUUUACGUCAGCACGCACUAUAAAUAGACGCACGGUAGCAUAGUGUGUCCUCCUCUUUCAUUCAUUGAUUCUGUCAACAAGCAAACAUUAUUAUAAGGUAUUUGUGCUUGAUUGUGUUUGCUUGUGUAAUUAUAUGGGGUGUGCAGUAGCAUAACACGCUCUCGUUUCAUUUAUGCAUUGAUGAUGUAUACAAGUAUUUGCUUACUAAGUGAUUUGCGCUUCACGCUGUCUGUAGGUACUAUAAAUAGACUCAUAGUAGUGUGGAUUGCUUUCACCUCAUUUGUCGGGUCUACAAACAAGCUUGUCGAUCUUCAGGUAAUGGGUCUCUAUGACUAUGGAAGGGUAUAUUUUAAGUACGCCAGCUAAUUAAUGCCAAGUAGUUGAUCGCUUAUGUUUAGAAUUGUUUGUGUGUUUAUAGGUUACUGUUCAUUUAAUUUAAUGCGGGUAUAAGGCAUCUUCAUGUACGGAUUUUAUUGUUAAGGUAAUGAGAAUUUAUAAAGAAAUUAGUAGGUUAAAGGGGUAGAAAGAAAAGUGUUUUAUGAUGUUGUCAUCUUUCAGAAAACCGUGCGUGUUAAUGGUGAUUGGCCUGACGACAGAGUCUUCAAAGAGUAUGAGUGAUGUAUGAGCGAAAUGCUUGUUAGAGGUAAUGAGUAUUAAUAAGUCUUUCUGUUUAUAUGCUAAAAGAAGUUUUUGCUCAUUAAGGUUGUUUUGUAGGUUCCUUUUUAAUAGAAGAAACAACCGGUUGGUUUUAAUUCUGUCUUUCACAGAUCCAGAUAUAUUUUUAAGUUUUCAUCCUUUCUGACUCUCGGCAGCACAGGGGCUUCCCUUGUGGGUGCGACUGGCACUGGUGCGGUGGUGGGAUAUUCUUGUGACGUGGCACCUUUUAUUGUGUGCUGUGAUUGCUGUGUUGAAGUGGGGUUGCAUUGCAGUGGUUGUAUAUCCUUCACAAUUCCAGUGGUGCCUUUUAAGGAGCCCUGUGAUUUUGUCAUGAGAGUAUAAAUAUUUUUCUACAUCAUGAGGUUUGCCAUAGUAUUUUAAAUAUUUUAUCAUGUUAUGUGGAAUUAGAAGUUUUGUAUUAUAAAUAAAACUGCUUGUAAAAGUGAUCAUUGCUA